GAACGACGACUUUGUUUUUAGCGAUCGAGUAACAAGUGGGUAGUAUGCAGACUCGGAUAUCCACGAUCCAUAUUCCCUCUUACCGCCUUUAGAGGAAACCCUUGAAGACACUAGUCUACCACUCUACCUUAUAAUUUUGGAUCACCUUAAUUAUAUUAUAUUUCUAACUCAUAGUCUCAAGCCAGGUUUUGCAAUUUAAGUACAGGAUAUACUUUUAUACAAGACAUAUAAAGGAGAUUGGUAUUGGUAUGGAAUGGUGCUUGCCUUCAUGUGGAAGUAGAAGUGAAUCUGUUUCUUUGUGAUCAGUAUUAUUAUUAAUGGAGGGAAAUCAUCUCUUUAUUUUGCUCUUUAAAUUAGCAGCUUUGCUUUUUGCUUUUUACUUUACUUACUAGUGUGAUAUGAGUAUAUGCUAAUGCUUGCAUGAUAAGUAUAUAUGUAUAUUUUUGCUGUAAACCAGUAAAGUUAGAAUAAGUGUUAACACUUCUGUUUUUA